rnacentral:lncRNA from 7 species
UGACACUGUGGGUCCCCGAGGGCAGAGAUAGGAAGGGAAGCUAGGUACGCACUGGGUGACUGAUUGGGCGGGUCCACGCGGAAGUGACCGUUGCGGAGAGCCAGGGCAGAAUUCGCUGGGCCGCGCAGAGGGAAAUCAGAAAUGGGCCGAAAGCGGCAUCUCGGCCCAAACUGUGCUUUCACCUUUUUCUUUUUAUUUUCUAUUCUCCUUCUCUAAUCUUUUUGAUUCAAAUUUUGAAUUCAAAUUUAAAUGUGAACUUGCACUCAGAUGAAAAUUACAAAA